AGGAGGAAGAAUUUACCCAUUGCUCUGCGACCUGGCAGGCUGGGAGAGGUGCAGUACUGAGGCAGAGAGAAAGUGCUGGCGGAAGAGAGAUGGAUGCUGAUGUGGAUGGGAGAGGGAGACCUCAUGAAGGAGAUAAAGUCUGAAGGUCAGCAGAAAGGCAAGCGAAGGAUGUGUAAGGUGGAGGGGACUGAAAAGCAAAGGCAGAGAGGCGAGGAGUGCAGAUGGGUAAUGUGCCAACAUCAUAACAAGGUUCAAGGGAGGCACAUCUCAUACGAGUGUGAAAAGGCAAUCAUCAUGCUUAUGAACUACAAGAUUAUCCUAUAUAUUCAUUUUCAAUUAUUUUAUCCUCCUCUGCCUCUUGCCCUGGACUAUAUAAGACCUGCAAUAUAAUGUUGAAUAAGGAAGGUGAAAACGAACAUCAUUGCAUCACUCCUGAUAUCAAAGAAAGUUCCAAGUUCUGAUCUCCCCUUCCCUACCUCUUUUCUUGACGUCUCUGGAACAAGCUAUCUGAAAGGAGAAAUAGUCACAUCACAAUUUUUUUUUUCUGGGCUCAUGUGAAUAUUGUUUCAGGGACAAGAAGAAAAAAAAAUUUGUCUUCUCUAUUUCCUUAAGAAGGUCAGCAAGAUGGAACAGUUGCAUUUCAUAUGCAGCCUCUCGAAGGACAUUCAUUUUCUCCAGCAGAGCCCCAGGGUGGACAAGGAGGGCCAGCUGUGUGCAGCGUCUGUUGUGUACAGCAUUCAGGACAAUGUCCUCUUGGAUCCCGAGCUCUCCACACAGACAGAGCAGAUAAAGGAAGGUCCCUCUCCUGGUCUUCCUUCCAGGGAGGCUGUUGCUGAGAGAGGUUAAGGGACCUCCCAGAGUCCUCCUCAGGUGGGAGCGGAAGGUUGGCAUUGCUGACCUCCCAUAAGCUUUUACCUGAACUUGGGCUCUGCCUGUCUUUGUUCUGAGGAAUGAGACUGCAAAGAAGCUCCCGAUCUGAAAAGGUGGCAUUUGCUAAGUUAGAAAAUGGAAGUACCACCCAGUCUGGGGGAUCCCAUAGGCACCCAAGAGUGCACCAAGCCACUAGGACCAAGCUCACCUGAGAGUCCCACCCUGCUCGGAAUAUGCAGACUUGGUGUCCUGUCGCUUUAAAGCACUCCAUGCCUGGAAAUGCCACGGCCCACAUGGAAUGGGCACAGCCAACAACUCUCCAAGGAGCCCCAGCAAUGAAUGAUGAGCAUCUCCCCUGAACCCAUCUCCCCAUGUCCGGUGUUUAAAGUGAAUUGAAAUGAAUAUCUGAUAAAUGAAUAAACCUGUAAAUGGAAUCAAAAACCUUAUGAACUUGAAGGAGAAAUAGGAGUCCCAGGUCUGUUAAGUCUAAAUUGAAUAAAUCUGAUCAACUGCCUGACAAUUUCUGCCAACAGCUUUUGAAGAGGAAGAAAAGGGGUGAGCAGAGAAAUUGGGUAGAGGAGAGGGAAGAGCGAGUGGGGUAGGGGAGGCAGGCAUGACUCAGUAAUGAAGCUAUCACCAGGAGUCCCCAGUGUUCCUUACCUGGACUAAUAAAUGGAUGACAAUAGGAGUUCCUUGCAAGUCUGUCUGCUCCUGUGUGUCUGCCCAGAGGACACCUCUAGAGAAUGAGAGAUUUGCAUAAAAUGGGGCCAAAGUCUCCUUUUGGGCCUUGCUGGACAAGGAGCUGAGGAAGAACUCUGGAGUCCUGGAAUCAGCUACUGGGCCUAGAUGAUCUCACCUGCUAGGAUGGGUCUGUAUGUUUGGGUAGCUUGAGCUGGAGGCAGGGAGGUCACAUUGAGGAUGCGCUCAAUGGCUCUCGAUUUGGCCUCUGCCACUCUUUGUUCUGUUGGGUAACUUACUUCCUGCAGUGGUUUUAAACAUGGCCACAGACUUCUUUAACACUCAUCUUAGUGAGAGGUGGUGGUGGUGGAUCUGUGUCUUCUUCUCUUGAAUCUAGGUGGCUUUGUGACUCCACUAAUACAGAACAGUGGCAUUGAUGCUGUCUGACUUUCCAGGCUGGGCUGGAAAAGGUUGUGCAACUUCUGCCUGAGUUUCUUGGGACACUGUCAUUGGGGGAAAACAGCCCCUAUGUAGGAAAUCCAAUUGCCCUGAGAGUGCCAUGCUGGAGAGGUGUUCCUGUUCAAGGCCAUGCCCCACUGAGCUCCCGGCCAGUGGCCAGGCUGGCCGUGGGGAAUGAACCCCGUGAGCCACUCAGUCUCGCCCAGCCUUCAGAUGACUGCAGUUCCAGCCCAUGUGUGACUGCAGCAGCUAAGUCACAGCUGCCUCGUCAAACUCUCCCCAAAUUUUUGACCUGCAAAAGUACAAACGCUAUAAAAUUAUUGUUUUAAGCUACUAAUUCAGGAGUAAUUUGUUAAUAGCAACCAAAACACACCCCUUCUUGGGUUUCAAUUUUUUUUCUGAACCAUGAAGGGUUAGACUAGAUAAUUUUUAAAACCAUACUUUGAAAGUUUUAAAUAGUAGAUGAACUUUUUUCAAUUGUUUUUAUUGUAGUAAAAUAUACAUAAAAUUUACCAUCUUAAACAUUUUUAAGUGUACGGUUCAGUGGUAUUAAAUAUAUUCACAAUGUUGUGUAACCAUCAUCACCAUCCAUCUCCGUAACUCAUUUCGUCCUGCAAAACUGAAACUCUGUACACAUUAAACAAUAACUCCGUCUUCCCCUUUCUCCUCCAGCCCCUGACAUCCACCAUUCUACUUUCUGCCUCUAUGAUUUAGACUACUCUAGGUAUCUCACAUAAGUGGAAUCAUACAAUGUUUGCCUUUUGGGCCUGGUUUAUUUCACUCAGCAUAAUGUUUUCAUGGUUCAUCCAGGUUGUAGUAUGUACCAGGAUUUCUUUCCUUUUUAAGACUGGAUAAUAUUUCAUUGUAUGUAUAUACAACAUUUUGCUUAUCCAUUCAUUUGUUGAUAGACACUUUUGUUUUUGCCAUGUUUUAGCUAUUGUGCAUUAAUGCUGGUGUGAACAGGAGUGUACAAAUGGAAAGAACCUGCUUCCAAUUAUGUCAAAUAGAUACCCAGAAGUGGAAUUGCUGAUUUACAUGGUAAUUUUAUUUUUAAUUUUUUGAGAAACCACCACACCGUUUUUCACAGUGGCUGUCCCAUUUUUGCAUUCCUGCCACCAGUGUACAAGGAUUCCAGUUCCCCACACCCUCAUCAACACUUGUUAUAUAUAUAUUUUUACAAUAGCCAUGAUAAUGGAUAUGAAGAGGUGUCCCAUUGUUGCUUUGAUUCACAUUUCUCUAAUGAUUAGUGAUGCUGGACAUCUUUUCAAAGCAUGUUUUUUUUAAAAAAGGAGUUCAAACAUCAUAAAAGGAUAACAGAAAUUAAACAGUUUUCUUCCCUACUCCUGAGUUCUUCUCACCACUGAGAGGUAACUAACUUUAACAUAUGACUGAUUCUUCCAGAAAUGCUUGUUGUGAUUACAACAUAAUUAUAUCUUUAUAAAAUUACACAUAGAAUUAUAUCAUAGUUAAUUUUUGUAAUUUCCUUUUUUUCCACUUACUGAUACAGAUUGGAGAUAUUUCCAUACCAGUAUACAUAGGUCUACUUCAUUCUUAAUAUCUGCAUAAUUCCAUGGCAUGGCUUGGUCAACGUUUACUUCUCUAGUCACUGUUGAUGGGUAUUUCAGUUGCUUCUAGGUUGUUUGGUUGGUAUUUUUUGCUACUGUAAUAAUACUGCAUUGACUAUUAUUGUAUACUUGUUUAUGCUUUUGUAGGUCAAAUUCCUAGAAGUACAGUUUCUGGGUCAAAGGAUAUGCAUUGACAAUUUUGAUAAUUAUUGCCAAAUUUGUCUUUUAAAGAGGUGGCACAUAUUUAUACCACCACAAUGAGGAAGCUAGUAUCCUGCUACCUUUAUUAUCUUUCAGGUUUUGUCAUCUGCUGGAAGAAAAUAAUAUUCUGUUUUCAAGUUUUCAUUUCUUUAAUUGUGAAGUUGAGCAUUUUUAUAUGCACUUUGAUGAUUUUUUAUACAAAAUUUCAAUCAUGCAAAAGUAGAGAGACUAUAUCAUGAACUCCCAUAAGUAGAUCACCCCAAGUCAACUGUCAUUAUGGGUUUACCACUUGUUUCAAGAUUGAUGAUUUUUAAUUUCUAUUUUUCAUUGAAUAGCUAAUUUAUAUCCUUUGCCAAUUCUAUAGGGCUGUUCAUAUUUUGUUUUUUUUUAAAUGGUUUGUCGGAGCUUUUCUUAUCAUAACAAAUUAACUUUUUGCCAUUAUAUGUUACAAAUAUUUUUCCUAUUAAACUUGUGUUUUGAUAUUAUUAAAGGUCUUUUUGUACAGAAGCAAUUUUACUUUUUAUAUCAAAUUUAUCAAUCUUUUAAAAAGAUUUGUAGUUUUGUGUUUUCAAUGAUCUUCUCUACUCCAGGAAUAUAAAAUAAAAUAAUAAAAUAAA
rnacentral:lncRNA from 10 species